rnacentral:lncRNA from 1 species
GCACCUCGUGCCAGCUUGUCCGCUAGAGUAUUUUGCGCCCUUGGUAUAUGCUGGAUAGUAAAGUUAAGAAAUAAUUCCUUACAUCGCAGAAACUCCUCCAUGUGUGUAGUGUACGCCGGCCAUUUUGUCGGUGUAGACACCAUCUUCACCAAUUGAGAACAAUCUGUUGCAAACACCAUCUCUGAGAUUUGUAGGGUCUUCAUUCACUCCAUCGCCCAUAUCAAAGCUUCACAUUCAGCAUGUAAAGGUGAUAGACUCCUGCGAAUAGACAUUGCACCCAUCAUAGUAUCAGUUGAUCCAUCUUUUCUGUAGACCCAUCCCUGCCCCGUAUAAAUAUCAUGUUCCUUCCAUGCUCCA